rnacentral:rRNA from 1 species
AGCGAACGCUGGCGGCAGGCCUAACACAUGCAAGUCGAACGAACCUUUCGGGGUUAGUGGCGGACGGGUGAGUAACACGUGGGAACGUGCCUUUAGGUUCGGAAUAACUCAGGGAAACUUGUGCUAAUACCGAAUGUGCCCUUCGGGGGAAAGAUUAAUCGCCUUUAGAGCGGCCCGCGUCUGAUUAGCUAGUUGGUUGAGGUAAUGGCUCACCAAGGCGACGAUCAGUAGCUGGUCUGAGAGGAUGAUCAGCCACAUUGGGACUGGGACACGGCCCAAACUCCUACGGGAGGCAGCAGGGGGGAAUCUUGCGCAAUGGGCGAAAGCCUGACGCAGCCAUGCCGCGUGAAUGAUGAAGGUCUUAGGAUUGUAAAAUUCUUUCACCGGGGACGAUAAUGACGGUACCCGGAGAAGAAGCCCCGGCUAACUUCGUG